GUCUCCGGCCAUGCCCCCUGAACGCGCCCGAUCCCGUCUGAUCUCGGAAGCUAAGCAGGGGCGGGCCUGGUUAGCACUUGGAUGGGAGACCACCUAGGAAGAGCAGGUGCUGCAGGCG
rnacentral:rRNA from 1 species